rnacentral:rRNA from 1 species
GGGACACGUGGUAUCCUGUCUGAAUAUGGGGGGACCAUCCUCCAAGGCUAAAUACUCCUGACUGACCGAUAGUGAACCAGUACCGUGAGGGAAAGGCGAAAAGAACCCCGGCGAGGGGAGUGAAAAAGAACCUGAAACCGUGUACGUACAAGCAGUGGGAGCACGCUUAGGCGUGUGACUGCGUACCUUUUGUAUAAUGGGUCAGCGACUUAUAUUCUGUAGCAAGGUUAACCGAAUAGGGGAGCCGAAGGGAAACCGAGUCUUAACUGGGCGUUAAGUUGCAGGGUAUAGACCCGAAACCCGGUGAUCUAGCCAUGGGCAGGUUGAAGGUUGGGUAACACUAACUGGAGGACCGAACCGACUAAUGUUGAAAAAUUAGCGGAUGACUUGUGGCUGGGGGUGAAAGGCCAAUCAAACCGGGAGAUAGCUGGUUCUCCCCGAAAGCUAUUUAGGUAGCGCCUCGUGAAUUCAUCUCCGGGGGUAGAGCACUGUUUCGGCAAGGGGGUCAUCCCGACUUACCAACCCGAUGCAAACUGCGAAUACCGGAGAAUGUUAUCACGGGAGACACACGGCGGGUGCUAACGUCCGUCGUGAAGAGGGAAACAACCCAGACCGCCAGCUAAGGUCCCAAAGUCAUGGUUAAGUGGGAAACGAUGUGGGAAGGCCCAGACAGCCAGGAUGUUGGCUUAGAAGCAGCCAUCAUUUAAAGAAAGCGUAAUAGCUCACUGGUCGAGUCGGCCUGCG